GAUGAACGCUGGCGGCGUGCCUAAUACAUGCAAGUCGAGCGAACAGACGAGGAACUUGCUCCUCUGACGUUAGCGGCGGACGGGUGAGUAACACGUGGAUAACCUACCUAUAAGACUGGGAUAACUUCGGGAAACCGGAGCUAAUACACGAUAAUAUAUCGAACCGCAUGGUCCAGUAGUGAAAGACGGUUUUGCUGUCACUUAUACAUUGAUCGGCGCCGCAUUAUUAGGUUGGUAAGGUAACGGCUUACCAAGGCAACGAUGCGUAGCCGACCUGAUAGGGUGAUCGGCCACACUGGAACUGAGACACGGUCCAGACUCCUACGGGAGGCAGCAGUAGGGAAUCUUCGGCAAUGGGCGAAAGCUUGACGGAGCAACGCCGCGUGAGUGAUGAAGGUCUUCGGAUCGUAAGACUCUGUUAUUAGGGAAGAACAAAUGUGUAAGUAAAUAUGCACGUCUUGACGGUACCUAAUCAGAAAGCCACGGCUAACUACGUG
rnacentral:rRNA from 1 species